UAGGAUUUGGGUUAGAGUUUGGGUUAGGGUUCGGGUUAGAAUGGGAGUUAGAGUUAGGGUUAGGUUUAGAGUUAGGGCUAGGGUUAAGUUUAGGUUU